rnacentral:rRNA from 1 species
UAGGGAAUCUUCCACAAUGGGUACAAACCUGAUGGAGCAAUGCCGCGUGAGUGAAGAAGGUUUUCGGAUCGUAAAGCUCUGUUGUUAGAGAAGAACACGUGCUAGGUAACUACUAGCGCCUUGACGGUAUCUAACCAGAAAGUCACGGCUAACUACGUGCCAGCAGCCGCGGUAAUACGUAGGUGACAAGCGUUGUCCGGAUUUAUUGGGCGUAAAGGGAGCGCAGGCGGUCUGUUUAGUCUAAUGUGAAAGCCCACGGCUUAACCGUGGAACGGCAUUGGAAACUGACAGACUUGAAUGUAGAAGAGGAAAAUGGAAUUCCAAGUGUAGCGGUGGAAUGCGUAGAUAUUUGGAGGAACACCAGUGGCGAAGGCGAUUUUCUGGUCUAACAUUGACGCUGAGGCUCGAAAGCGUGGGGAGCGAACAGGAUUAGAUACCCUGGUAGUCCACGCCGUAAACGAUGAGUGCUAAGUGUUGGGGGCUUUCCGGCCCUCGGUGCUGGAGCUAACGUAUUAAGCACUCCGCCUGGGGAUUACGACCGCAAGGUUG